ACAAGACUUUAGGGGUGUUCCGAUAAUCUAUCGGGGCUGAGACAUACCCUCUGAACCUGAUCCCGGUAAUGCGGGCGAAGGGAAAAGUGAAGCGUCCUUC
rnacentral:ncRNA from 2 species